rnacentral:rRNA from 1 species
UACGUAGGGGCGAGCGUUAUCCGGAAUUAUUGGGCGUAAAGAGUGCGUAGGUGGUUUUUUUAAGCGUGUGGUGAAAGGCAAUAGCUUAACUAUUGUAAGCCGCGCGAACUGGAAGACUUGAGUGCAGGAGAGGAAAGCGGAAUUCCUAGUGUAGCGGUGAAAUGCGUAGAUAUUAGGAGGAACACCAGUGGCGAAGGCGGCUUUCUGGACUGUAACUGACACUGAGGCACGAAAGCGUGGGGAGCAAACAGGAUUAGAUACCCCUGUAGUCCCUGAG